rnacentral:rRNA from 1 species
AACUUUCAACAACGGAUCUCUUGGUUCUGGCAUCGAUGAAGAACGCAGCGAAAUGCGAUAAUUAAUGUGAAUUGCAGACUCAGUGAAUCAUCGAAUCUUUGAACGCACAUUGCGUCCUCUGGUAUUCCGGGGGGCAUGCCUGUUCGAGCGUC